AGGUAUCUGGCUAUUCGUUUCGUGAUUUUUUAAUUUUUCUUGCAAAGAUAUUGACGUAGAGCUGGUGCUUGUCGAGGGAUAAGUCAAGCGAUCUUGCUGCAUUGAAGGAACUUGAAACGCUGCAGGUUGUUUAGCAGCGGUGAACUGAUCAGGCUCGAGAAUCCAUAAUCUGUCCUUGAUGGAAACGAAGGUUGGUCCACUUCUGCAGAAACCUCAGGGUCUUUCAGAUGAGGAUGCUCUUGCAGUGUACAGACGAAUGCAACGUCAGGAAUUGAAACCAGCCAUUGGCAUUGUUGUUGGCGCUCUCAAGGUAUGUAGAAGCAUGAGAGAUCUACAACUAGGCAGGAGAAUUCACAGGGAUGUUUCCGAGACAGGUGACUUCUCAAACAUUAUCGUCGCCAACAUCCUGCUUGAUCUGUACGCGAAAUGCGGAAGCAUGAUAGAUGCCCGUGCAGCAUUUAACAGCAUGCCGCAUCGCGAUGUUGUCUCCUGGAAUUCGAUCAUACAGGGAUAUGCACAUAGUGGAAACGGUGACAUGGCUCUACAGUUGUUUGCUCGUAUGGAAGACGAAGGGUACAAACCGGAUCGAGUAUCAGUUCUUGGUGCUCUCAAGGCUUGUUCCAGCUUGAUAGAGAAGGAUUCCGGGCAGGCUUUGGAUGGUCGACGGGUGGUAUUCUUAGAGAGGAGCAGGGAGAUUCACAGGAAAGCAGUAAAACUUGGCAUAGACUCGGAUCUCUUCGUCGCGAGCACGUUGAUUGAUCUUUACGCAAAAUGUGGGAGCUUGACAGAGGCUCGUCGAGUUUUCGAAGGAAUGAGCCAUCGUAGUGUGGUGACAUGGAACUGCAUGAUUCUCGGGUAUGCCGGCAGCGGCGAGGGUGGUGAAGCUCUCGAUAUCUAUGCUCGAAUGCGUCGUGGAGACACUCCACCGGAUGCUUUAACUUUCAUCGCAGCACUGAAAGCUUGUUGCUGUCUCGCAGACGAGGAACUUGGGACAGUUGUUCAUGGUGAAGAAGAAACGCAAGUCUUGAAGAUUCAGAGCUUGGAAAAAGGAAGGGCCGUUCACUUGGAAGCUGGUGAGCACUCGUCAAACAUCUUAGUGACCAACACACUCGUGGAGUUCUAUGCCAAGUGUGGGAGCAUGGUGGAGUCUCGCAGUUUGUUCGACAGUAUUGAACGUCCAGACGUGGUUUCUUGGAACUGCCUCACUCUUGGUUAUGCUCAGAACGGCAAAGGCGAGCAAGCUCUUGAGAUAUUCUUUAGCAUGGAUGAGAAUGGUUGCGCUCCAGAUCGUGUCACAGUUCUUGCUGCACUAAAGGCCUGCGUCACCUUGGCUGAGAAGGAACAGGGCCAGAUUGUCGACGGAGGCGUCGUUAAGCUUCGGGCUUUGGAGAGAGGCAAGGCCGUGCAUGCUCGAGCUCUCGCUUUUGUGGACGGAGAAGACCUCUCUGUUCAUAAUGCUCUCGUUGACAUGUACGCCAAGUGUGGAAGCAUGGUGGAUGCUUGGCUGGUUUUCGAAGAUAUGGUGGUGCGAGAUGUGAUAUCUUGGACGGGGAUAAUCCUGGGGUAUGCUUGCGGCGGCCAGCACAAGCUCGUCUUACAAUCGUUUGAAAGCAUGCAAGAGGAAGGUGUUAAGGGAGAUCAUGUCACUGCUACUACUGCAUUUAAGGCUGUUGCGACUCUAACGGAGAAAGAAGACGGCAAGCUUGUGAAGAAAUGGUUGGAAAAAGGCAGAGCUCUCCACUUGCAAGUCGCAGGGAUUUGCGAACUGGAUGUCUACUUUGCUAGUGUCCUGGUGGAUAUGUAUACGAAGUGUCGAAGCAUGGAGGAUGCUCGGGGAGUCUUCGACAGCAUCAAAGGUCGGGACCUUGUUCUUUGGAACUCCAUGAUCUUGGGAUACAGUCAGUGUGGAGAACCCGAGCGAGCUUUGGAGUUUUACACUCGGUUGCUGCAAGCGAAAAGCUUGGAACCGGACGGGGUGACUUACGUUGCUGUUCUCAAAGCCUGCGCCAGCCUUGCAGCACUGGACUUCGGGCAGCAGAUUCACGUCCAAGCUUGCAGCGCUGGACUGGAUACAGAGCCAUCGGUGGGAAGCUCUCUCGUUAGCUUCUACGGGAGGUGUGGAAGCAUGGCCGAAGCCGAGGAGGCGUUUGAGGCAAUCACGGACAAGACGGUGGUGGCAUGGAGUGCUCUCAUGGCGGGAUACAGCAGCCAGGGCGACAGCCUGCGGGUCUUUGAGCUCUUCGAGGCCAUGAAGCGUGAACGAGUACGUCCAGACGGCGUCACCUUUGUCUCGGUGCUCACGGCAUGCAGCCACGCCGGGCUGGUUGACAAGGGACGUGAGUUCUUCGAGGCCAUGAGCAGCGAGUAUGGAGUGGUUCCAAACGUCCAGCACUACACUUGCUUGGUGGAUCUUCUGUGCCGGGCAAAUCGGCUAGACGAAGCGCUCAAGACCGUGGAGGCGAUGCCUUGCAAGGCGGACGCGGUGCUGUGGACGGCGCUGUUAAGUUCAUGCCUCAAGUGGAGAGAUGUGGAGCUUGGCAGGAUGGCUUUCCAGUCGGUUCUCAAGCUCGACGAUGGAACAGGCUCCGCGUACUCUCUCAUGUCCAACAUCUAUGCGCGAGGUGAGUCGGAUUUACAGCUCCAAGACAAAGCUUCAUAGUCAUGGGAAACAGUCAUGGGAACGAUUUAAUGCUCCACUGACUGACGCUACUGUUGGAGAGAAACGACAUGUGUUACUUCACUUCUAUCUCAGGUUGCGUUGUUGUCUUUCUUUCUUAUCAGUAACUAACGAAGAUUUCCCUUCUUGAGCUUUCUCCGCUGUUAAGUCGGACACUUUCGGCUGCUGGCAAUUCCUGAAACGUCGGUUCACGGUAUUCGAUAGGCGCUGGUAUAUCCCGCACAAAGGAACAAAAACAAGGUGAGACCCCGUUUUGACCCGCAUUUUAAAACCGUAACGAUGGCAACAUCUCCUUGAAUGGAUAGACACCAGCACAGCAGCAGCCAUCCAUGGUUUGCGGACAUGGUAAAAAGCUCGCUCGCGGUGGUGUAGUAACUUUUGGGCGCAACAAGGACAUCGAUGUUGUUUGUGUUGGAAAUGUGUUUUUUCGUUUCUUCAGAGGGCCUGGGAGAUGUCUUCCAUCCGUCCACAGUGCGAUUCAUGCACCAGCAGUGGCUCACACACCAAAAAAAAAAAGGAAAAGAACACCGUAGAUGCCUCGAAAAAGGAAGGCAUUCACCAAUUUGGAAGGAGCUCGCUCGAGCUUGAUCAAGCUUCCAAGCGUGAAGAAUCGUUUCCUUCCAUCCAUCAGACUUUAUAGUCUCUCCGUGAUCCGUGAUCCUAGGAACACUUCCUCUCAAAAGUAAAAAUGCUUCUUUUGGGA